UGAGGAAUAUUGGUCAAUGGGCGAGAGCCUGAACCAGCCAAGUCGCGUGAGGGAAUAAGGCCCUACGGGUCGUAAACCUCUUUUGCCGGGGAGCAAGUCGGGGCUCGUGAGCCCUGAUGGAGAGUACCCGGAGAAAAAGCAUCGGCUAACUCCGUGCCAGCAGCCGCGGUAAUACGGAGGAUGCGAGCGUUAUCCGGAUUUAUUGGGUUUAAAGGGUGCGUAGGCGGGCUGGCAAGUCGGCGGUCAAAUGUCGGGGCUCAACCCCGGCCUGCCGUCGAAACUGCCGGCCUUGAGUGAGCGAGAAGCAGGCGGAAUGCGUGGUGUAGCGGUGAAAUGCAUAGAUAUCACGCAGAACCCCGAUUGCGAAGGCAGCCUGCCGGCGCUCAACUGACGCUGAGGCACGAAAGUGCGGGGAUCGAACAGGAUUAGAUACC
rnacentral:rRNA from 1 species